rnacentral:lncRNA from 1 species
GGUUCUCCUCGCGGUUCUUUGGUGUCUCCUGGUGGUUCCUCGAGGUGCCCUCAUGGUUUUUUGGCAUCUCCUCAUGGUUCUUUGGUGUCUCCUGGUGCUUUUUGGGGGUCUCUUCAUGGUUCCUUGGGGUCUCCUCACGGUUCCUUGGGGUCUCCUCGGCUUUUUUGGGUUCUCCUCGCGGUUCUUUGGUGUCUCCUGGUGGUUCCUCGAGGUCCCCUCAUGGUUUUUUGGCGUCUCCUCAUGGUUCUUUGGUGUCUCCUGGUGCUUUUUGGGGGUCUCUUCAUGGUUUUUUGGGGUCUCCUCACGGUUCCUUGGGGUCUCCUCAGCUUUUUUGGGUUCUCCUCGCGGUUCUCUGGUGUCUCCUGGUGGUUCCUCGAGGUCCCCUCAUGGUUUUUUGGCGUCUCCUCAUGGUUCUUUGGUGUCUCCUGGUGCUUUUUGGGGGUCUCUUCAUGGUUUUUUGGGGUCUCCUCACGGUUCCUUGGGGUCUCCUCGGCUUUUUUGGGUUCUCCUCGUGGUUCUUUGGUGUCUCCUGGUGGUUUUUUGAGCUCUCCUGAUGGUUCCUUGAGGUCUCCUCAUGGUUUUUUUGGCGUCUCCUCAUGGUUCCUUGGGGUCUCCUGGUGGUUCCUUGGGGUCUCCUGGUGGUUUUGGGUGUCUCCUCAUGGUUCUUUGGUGUCUCCUGGUGGUUUUUUGGGGUCUCUUCAUGGAUUUUUGGGGUCUCCUCAUGGUUUUGGGGUCUCCUUGUGUUUUUGGGGGUCUUCUCGCGGUAUUUUGAUAUCUCCUGCUAGUUUUCUGGGCUCUCCUCACGGUUCCUCGAGGUCUUCUCAUGGUUUUUUGGGGUCUCCUCGUGGUUCCUUGGGGUCUCCUGGUGUCUUUUUGCCGUCUCUUCAUGUUUUUUUUGGGUCUGCUCAUGAUUUUGGGGGUGUUCUCACGGUUCUUUGGUGUCUCCUGGUGGUUUUUUGGGCUCUCCUGAUGGUUCCUCGAGGUCCCCUCAUGGUUUUUUGGCGUCUCCUCGUGGUUCUUUGGUGUCUCCUGGUGUUUUUUGGGGAUCUCUUCAUGGUUUCUUGGGGUCUCCUCAUGGUUUUGGGGGUCUCCUGAUGGUUUUUUGGGGUCUCCUGAUGGUUCCUUGGUGCCUCUUGAUGGUUUUGGGGGUCUCCUGAUGGUUUUUUGGGGUCUCCUGAUGGUUUUUUGGGGUCUCCUGAUGGUUCCUUGGUGCCUCUUGAUGGUUUUGGGGGUCUCCUGGUGGUUUUUUGGCGUCUCCUCAUGGUUUUUGUUG